UACAGGGGGGCAAGGCGUUGUUCGGAAUUACUGGGCGUAAGGGCCAGUAGGCGGCCAACGUAAGUCACACGUGAAAUCCCCGGGCUUAACCCGGGAACUGCAUUUGUGACCGUGUAGAGCUGGAGUACGGUAGAGGGGGAUGGAAUUCCGCGUGUAGCAGUGGAAAUGCGUAGAUAUGCGGAGGAACACCGAUGGCGAAGGCAAUCCCCUGGACCUGUACUGACGCUCAUGCACCGAAAGCGUGGGGAGCAAACAGG
rnacentral:rRNA from 1 species